rnacentral:miRNA from 1 species
AACUCCAAACACUCAAAACUCA